GCCGCUCACGCGUCAAAGUCGCCCUCGGGCACCGGCAAAACUUUCUCAGCAGCGCGUCUCGCCACCGCCCUACGGGCCAGAGCGAGCGGCUUCGCACCUCCGGCAAAGCGCCGCAGCAUCUUCCGGCGUGCCGCUCGCAAGGGGAAGCGACCAGGAGGUGCCCUAAAUCCUGCCAGCGAGCCCCUGCGAACGGCUCACGGUGUGCCAGGCAGAGCCGAGCUGGAGCCCGGCGGGGAUUAGUGCCGCGCAUCGGACACUGCCAUGAAAACUCAGCACACGCGCCCUUGGGGCUGCCGGGAGGAGACGGGAGGUUUGCAUUAUCCGGGCUCUGUGAGCCAGAUAGAUGAGCGUGAAACUCUAAUUAUACUUUUGGCUGCCAAAACCAGCCCCACACUCUUAGGUGAGCUUCACGUCUUCUAGAAGGCUACAGGCAAGGCAAGUCCUGUCAAACCAGUGCAAGUUACAAAACAGUCAUAAGGAGCCUACUGCAGCUACCACGAGCCACGGAAACAAAGAAAAUGGGCAGCUUCAGAUGCACACAGGAUAAAGUCAGCAAGGCCAAGGCAAGUCUCAUUCCACAAAGGGCAGAAACACCUGUCCAAACUCAGCUGAAUGUGACAAUCCAAGCAAAACCCCAAAGGUAUAGUGAGGAUUCAGCAUGCAUCACCCCUGUCCUGUGGACCACACUCCAGGCUCCUGGACAGCCCCUUCAGCACAGUUGGUUUGCUGCUGGUCUUCUCCCAGUAGCCCUGAGAGUUGCAAACACCCUGCCUUCCCCACACACCAUGAGAAAUACAGGUUAUUUCCAGAGCUCAUGAACUGGCUGUUCUCUGGCUACAUGGCAUUCAUUGCAAGACCUGAACCUCCUUUGCCUCAGCCCUCCUCAGAAAGUCCUUCUGUCAAGAACCAGCAGAUCGACACAGAAAAAGUUUGGUUUCCUGAGGUGGCUUUACCUGAGGCUGAUUCCCAGCACACAACAGACUGUCACAUGUGGGAGGUGAAUGAAUGCUGAUAGAUCAUUUCUGUAGCUGCUCUUCUGCACUUUCCAAUAGAUAGGAACAAAGAGCUUAUCUCCUAGCAAUUCAGAUCAUAAACACAAAUCAGUGUAAUCAUACAUAUCCUUUUUAUGUUUUC